rnacentral:siRNA from 1 species
AAAUUCAAUGAUGAAUUUUGGGUC